rnacentral:lncRNA from 1 species
CUGCUACUAGAUUACUAUUUUUCUUUGAUUUGCACUGAAGUGUACAGGAAAACAAAAUAUCAAAUAUAUCAAAACAAGAAUGUGUCCAAAGUACAUGGAUGCCCCACUCGCACUAUCCUUUUCCAUGUUCCAUGGACCGUGAAAUUGGGUAAUAAUCUAAUUUGGUAUUAAAAUUAGAAAGAUUAUACUAUAGGGAACAUAUGUGCUAAGUUUCAAGUUGAUUGGACUUCAAUUUUAUCAAAAACUACCUUGACCAAAAACUUUAACCUGAAACUCCCACUUUCAUUUUCUAUGUUUAGUGGACCGUGAAAUUGGGGUCAAAAGUCUAAUUUGGCUUCAAAAUUAAAAAGAUUAUAUCAUAAGCAACAAGUUUACUAAGUUUCAAGUUGAUUGGACUUCAGCUUCACCAAAAACUACCUUGACCAAAAACUUUAACCUGAAACUCCCACUUUCAUUUUCUAUGUUCAGUGGACCAUGAAAUUGGGGUCAAAAGUCUCAUUUGGCUUUAAAAUUAGAAAGAUCAUAUCAUAAGCAACAAGUCUACUAAGUUUCAAGUUGAUUGGACUUCAGCUUCAUCAAAAACUACCUUGACCAAAAACUUUAACCUGAACGGACGGACGGACGGACGCACAGACGGACGCACAGACGAACGGAGCCACAGACCAGAAAACAUAAUGCCCCUCUACUAUCGUAGGUGGGGCAUAACAACUGAAA